UACGUAGGGGGCAAGCGUUGUCCGGAAUCAUUGGGCGUAAAGCGCGUGUAGGCGGUUCGGUAAGUCGGCUGUGAAAGUCCAGGGCUCAACCCCGGAACUGCAUUGGAUACUGCCUUGCUAGAGUACUGGAGAGGGAACUGGAAUUUACGGUGUAGCAGUGAAAUGCGUAGAGAUCGUAAGGAAGGCCAGUGGCGAAGGCGAGUUCCUGGACAGUUACUGACGCUGAGGUGCGAAAGCGUGGGGAGCAAACAGG
rnacentral:rRNA from 1 species